CAGUCGCCGCGGGAAUACGUAGGUGGCAAGCGUUGUCCGGAAUUAUUGGGCGUAAAGGGCUCGCAGGCGGUUUCUUAAGUCUGAUGUGUAAGCCCCCGGCUCAACCGGGGAGGGUCAUUGGAAACUGGGAAACUUGAGUGCAGAAGAGGAGAGUGGAAUUCCUCGUGUAGCGGUGAAAUGCGUAGAGAUGUGGAGGAACACCAGUGGCGAAGGCGACUCUCUGGUCUGUAACUGACGCUGAGGAGCGAAAGCGUAGGGAGCGAACAGGAUUAGAUACCCCGGUAGUCCCUGUCUCUUAUAC
rnacentral:rRNA from 1 species